CCACAAGCGACAUCGCUUUUAGUCAGUCACGAAUGUUCGUGGUAAAAUGAGGUUUGAUUUUGUGUAGGAUGUAUGAAUAGGCUGACUGUGGGUUAUGACAGUGAGUUCGAAACAAUAUUCAGGUGCAGAAAUGUUAAAGGUUGAAGAUUCAAAGACACAAAGUAACGAACGGGAAAUAUUACAACGUUUUAAAACAAGACAAUAUAUCAUUGCACCAAAAGAAAUUCGCCAAGUUCCAAGUUUCAUCACUGAGUGAGAUGGAGACCUAUCACGUCGGAAGAGGAACUUUCUGAAACACUUCUUGAAAGCGGGAAAGACAAUCUAAAGAUAUGCGGAGUUAUUCGUCCGAUUAUGCAUCACUGAGAGAGGUGGCUGCCUUGAGUCUAAAGAGCAAAAUUUCUGCCUAAUGCAAUCACGUUAUAUAAUUCCCUCAAUCUGUUCGGGUAUGAGUUCGACAAAAUCAAACUAAGGCGUUGACCUGGCCUUGCUCGAGCCGUUGGACCUGUCGUUUAAAAUUUAACCGAGGUCGUGGUUGGCUUAUAUAGAUUCAUAAGAGGAAGAAGAAAGCUGCUUAUUUAACUUGAAAUAGCACGUAGGUAUUCACCGAGAAAGGUAGCUUUAUAUAGGUAUUGCUUGUGCAAGCACAAGUGCGUUACCACGUGGGUAUUUACCGAGAGAGGGAGCAAUAUCAUUUUUCGUUAAUUGUUUCCGCAAAAUAGUUAAUUUGAUGGCGUUUGCUGUUGCCUUCAGAGUCUAUUAUAUCCACGUUGUGGCUCAUUCCAUUUUUGUAAACGUUAUCAAAGUGUCUUUUCUAUUUUUCCAAUUUGAUUAAGGAUAUAUCGCAUCUAAUUAGUUUCGUUUUUAUAAAAUCCUACAAAAUGUUGGGUUUAAUAACAUACAACUGUUUUGUCAAUUUGCCAAUAAAAUUUGCCAAUUUUAGUAUGAUACAAUUAUAUAUCACGCAAAGUACAUCAUCAAUAUACGUAUGUAUGCAUUUUUGAUGUAAUCAUCUUCUUUUUUUUUUAAUUUACAACGUUUUAACACAACAGGUAAAACAAAUCGAGAACGCAAAAGAUUUAUAAUUGGCGAUUUGCAGUUUCUAGGUUAUCAUUGAUUGUUUACAACUUCCAGCUUUGUGUUGCUUAAUUUUUUUUUUAGUAGAAACUCGUGGCCUUACAUGAGACGAUAAUAGCCUACUUAUCUGUUCAUAGCAAACAUUAUACUCACAAACAUCGCAAUUUGUUCAUUUUGGAUUUCUCAAAGCGUGAUCAUCAUCACACGAAACGGCGCAUUCUUUACAUGACAGUAUGUGGCAUUUCGAAUAGAAUAUAUUGUCAGUUUCGAAUGCAUGACCUUGAUUUCUUUAGUUUUAUUGAUUCCCCCAAGUAGGAUGACGUUGAAAAAAGAAGUAAUAUUAUUUCUUAAAAUUGGUUGUGACCCAUUUGUAUAUAUUCACUUUAGUUUAUAACAACAGUGUCAAGUUAAAAUGCUUAGUCUUCUUUAUUUAUUUUCAUUGGUAACUAUAUAUACAACAACGUUAAAAAUUGAAUUAAUAUUGCUUCUUUAUUGUUGUAGUCUAUUUGUUUGUUUCGCUUCAAUAUGUCCACACAACAUUAUAACGUUUUGGUUCCUG